CUAGCCGUAAACGAUGGGCACUGGGUAGGGGGCUCGCCGAUGGGCUCUCUGCCGAAGCGAAAGCGUGAAGUGCCCCGCCUGGGGANCGAAGAACCUUAUCCUGGGCUUGACAUGCAGGGAUUAGCGUGCGGAAACGCACGUGACGCCGCAAGGUGGAACCUGCACAGGUGC
rnacentral:rRNA from 1 species